rnacentral:rRNA from 1 species
AUGGCCUUUCCAAACGGAGCUUUGAACCCAUCACUUAUUUCUGGGCUCCUAAACUCAAUUGAGCAGCUCAAUGGGACUAACUUUCCUACAUGGAAGGAGCAGAUUUCCAUUAACCUUGGGGUCAUGGAUCUUGACUACACACUUAGGGAGAAGGCUCCAGUUCCCUUGUCCUCUGAUGAUGAAAACCUUGCUGAGAGAACUAAGGUUUAUGAGGCUAACAAGGAGAAGUGGGAGCGCUCCAAUCGAUUGUCCCUCAUGAUCAUGAAAAGCACAAUUACUCUUGGGAUUAGGGGAGCUAUCCCCGAUUCCGAAUGUGCUAAGACUUAUCUGGCAUCGGUGGAGGAACAAUUUAAAGGCUCCACAAAAGUCUAUGCCAGUACACUGAUCAUGAAAAUGCUCACCACUAAGUACGAUGGUGCAAGCGGUGUGAGAGAACAUAUCAUGACUAUGAACGAUAUGGCCGCAAAAUUAAUGGGCAUGGACAUGGAGAUUUCUGAGGGCUUCUUGGUUCAUUUCAUUAUGACCUCCCUUCCAGUGGAGUUUGGUCCAUUCAAGAUCAACUAUAACACACAGAAGGAGAAGUGGACCAUGGGUGAGCUCACAGCUAUGUGCGUUCAAGAAGAGGAGCGACUUAAGAUUGAGAGAAAAGAUUACGCUCAUCUUACUUCCAUGAACUCAGGGAAGAGAAAGUUUAAUGGUGAAAAUAAGACUCGUAAAAAAUUAGGUCCUUCACAUAAGGCCGAGUCAAGCAAGUCUGGGGCCAAAAGGUCAAAGCCUUCUGUUGCUAAUGAACCUUCUGCACCUAAGAAGCCUUAUUGCAAGUUUUGCAAACAUGACGGACAUAAGCAGAAGGAUUGCGAUGGCUUUAAGGCAUGGCUUGUAAAGAAGGGUAUGGACACAAUUUCCAUGGUUGAUGAAUCCCUUUACACUGAUUUUUCCCCUAAUACUUGGUGGGUUGCCUUAGGUGCCACCGUGCAUAUUUCUAACUCAUUGCAGGGAUUCCUUACCGUGAGGACGCUUCAAAGGGGGGAGCGAACUCUUAGAGUUGCAAAUGGACAGGAGGCUAAUGUUAAAGCUGUUGGGACUCUCCCGUUAGUGCUAAAAGAUGGCUUCACCGUCCUUCUUAAUAAUGAUAUUUAUGUUCCUACCAUGAGGAGGAACCUUAUUUCUGUUUCUCUAUUAGAUGAUGAUGGUUUUGGGACUUAUUUUGGGAACAAACGAUGUGUUAUUAAGUUUGGUCAUGAUGAUAUUGGUCAUGGCAUUCGCCAUGACAAACUCUAUAGACUCCUUUUGAACGACUCCUCUGAAUCUUUGAAUGUUUGUGAUGUAAUAAAUAAGCAUGAGACUUCGUCGAAAUUAUGGCACUGUCGUUUAGGCCAUAUUUCGAAGGGGAGAAUGGAG